UACAUGUGGGGCAAGCGUUGUUCGGAAUUACUGGGCUUAAAGGGUGCGUAGGUGGCUUGUUAAGUCACGGGUGAAAGUUUUCGGCCCAACCGGAAAAUUGCCCGUGAUACUGGCGAACUUGAGUGCGUGAGGGGUAACCGGAACGAGCAGUGUAGCGGUGAAAUGCGUAGAUAUUGCUCGGAAGGCCAGAGGCGAAGGCGGGUUACUGGUGCGCAACUGACACUGAUGCACGAAAGCGUGGGGAGCAAACAGG
rnacentral:rRNA from 1 species